rnacentral:rRNA from 1 species
GACGAACGCUGGCGGCAUGCCUAACACAUGCAAGUCGAACGGAACUUGUUGAAUGAAGUUUUCGGAUGGAUUUUGGCAAGUUUAGUGGCGGACGGGUGAGUAACGCGUGAGCAACCUGCCUUUCAGAGGGGGACAACAGUUGGAAACGACUGCUAAUACCGCAUAACAUCAUUGGGAGGCAUCUUCUGAUGAUCAAAGAUUUAUCGCUGAAAGAUGGGCUCGCGUCUGAUUAGAUAGUUGGUGGGGUAACGGCCUACCAAGUCGACGAUCAGUAGCCGGACUGAGAGGUUGAACGGCCACAUUGGGACUGAGAUACGGCCCAGACUCCUACGGGAGGCAGCAGUGGGGAAUAUUGGGCAAUGGGGGCAACCCUGACCCAGCAACGCCGCGUGAAGGAAGAAGGCUUUCGGGUGUAAACGUUCUUUUACCAGGGUACGAAGACGUGACGGUACCUGG